rnacentral:rRNA from 1 species
GACGAACGCUGGCGGCGUGCCUAAUACAUGCAAGUCGAACGCACAGUUUAUACCGUAGCUUGCUACACCAUAGACUGUGAGUUGCGAACGGGUGAGUAACGCGUAGGUAACCUGCCUGGUAGCGGGGGAUAACUAUUGGAAACGAUAGCUAAUACCGCAUAAUAUUAAUUAUUGCAUGAUAAUUAAUUGAAAGGUGCAAUUGCACCACUACCAGAUGGCCCUGCGUUGUAUUAGCUAGUAGGUGAGGUAACGGCUCACCUAGGCGACGAUACAUAGCCGACCUGGGAGGGGGAUCGGCCACACUGGGAAUGGGACCCGGCCCAGACUCCUACGGGGGGCAGCAGUAGGGAAUCUUCGGCAAUGGACGAAAGUCUGACCGAGCAACACCGCGUGAGUGAAGAAGGUUUUCGGAUCGUAAAGCUCUGUUGUAAGAGAAGAACGGGUGUGAGAGUGGAAAGUUCACACUGUGACGGUAUCUUACCAGAAAGGGACGGCUAACUACGUG